UAAAACUUCAUACAGAGCUUGCAAUGUGAUGGGAACGGAUGUUUAAAAUCUUUGCGGAGGUUGAAAUUCAUCUUUUUAUAAAGAUGGCCUUCUAACAAGCAUAAUAAGUAACUACUACAUUUUCAUGUUUUGAAAACUGAUUUUUUUAAUAUUUAAUUUUUAGGCAAUUAUUGAAGGAAUUCAGCAAGUUUUUACUGAUUUACAUACUUUGGGUAAGUGAGAUGGAAACUCUCUUCUUCCUUUCUUUGUCAUUUCACUUAAUUAUGUUAUGUAAGUUGAUCAUCGAAAAGGUGCUACAUUUAUCAUUCUUUCAUUAAAUUUAUUCCUCUUAUUUUAUUAGAGCUUAGUUUUUCGUGUUUCAUAUCAUACGUAGCUAGCUACAAUCUUUGGAAGAAAAUUAUUAUAGAUAAUAAUGGUCAUAUCUAAGUAUGUUGAUUACCUAAUGUUUUAUUGAAUCCAUGUUAGUAAUGUUUAGGUACACUUCUUAAAUUUAGAGCAAGAGUUCCUUGAUAUGUCAUAUACCAUCAGAUGCUAUAUUAUUUUAAUUAGUGUUACAUAAUUCAACAUAUCUUAUUUUCCAAAACAAAUAACUAAAAGUUAAAUGAAAAGAGUUAGUUGUCACCCUUGUAUUUGUAUAGAGAAACAUAUAUUUAGAUAUUUUAGUCUAGAAGAUUAUAUUUGAAAUCCUUCUUUUCAUUUAUUUUUGGAUGCAAAAGUAAGCUUUAUAUAGAAACAUAUUAAUCAAUACAAGAUUUAUCAUAUUUAUAAAAAUAUAAUGUGAUAAAUAUUUAUAUCGACAUGAUAUUAGACUUAUAUAAAUUUUAGAUCAUAAUAGAAGACAAACGUGCAGCGCACGUUUUCAGAACUAGUCUAGUAUAGGUAGGAAUUGAGAUAAUUUGCUCCAGAAAGUUGAUUGUUUAAUAUGUAUCAGCAGGAUGUUUAUAGCAAUUCAUUUAUGAUCUUGUGACAAAUAUCAGUCUUCAUCUUAGUUGGCUAUUACGACACACUUUUCUUGUCUAUUAACAUAUGUUCUCUCUCACAUCUUGUAGACUGAAAUAUCUCCACCAUAGAAGUCGAUGGAGAAUACAUUUAAUGAUUAAAGCGAAUGAUGCUCUCACAAAUGUAAGUUUUUCUUUGUCCUCAGAAGCUUUCUAUUUUUGUUUACUUCCCUUUGCUUUUCCUUUGUUAAGAUCUUCUUGAGCAGUAUGGAGUAUUUAUUGCCACUAUGAAGUCGAGAAAUCAUCUUCAGUUCGAGAUAAAUUUAAUUUUAGAUAACCAAUAAAAAAACAAAGGUGAAAAAAUCUUUAUAUUCGUGUGGGAACACUGUAAAAUGAAAUCUAAUAUACAUAGGAAUUAAAAUAAUCUGCUCCACAAAAUCUUGUUCUUUCCGUUUCAGUGAGUUUAGAGUUAUGCACAUGUUCACUAUUGAAUUCAAAGCUUUAAUAGAAUUCAAAGGUGUACAAUACACAAGGUUUGUUUCCUAUCUAUCAAAAAUAUAUAAAAGUUUGCCUCCCAAUAAAUUUAAUACCUAUAAACAUCAGCACUAUUCAAGUUUUUAUUAAUGAUUAUUGGAUAUCAACUUAGCAGUUUUUUUCUUUGUCAGGAUUUUGGUAACAGUAUAUGUAAGCUAUUACCGCUCUAGCUCAGUUUGUACCAGGAAAGUUCUGCUGCAAUUCUCUAUUGAAUAGACCGUUGCUACAAUGUGGUCUGACAGCAAAGUGUAAGUGAAUAAACAUAGUUUCGCAGUUUUGUCGCUGACUGUAAAUAUUAAGUUUAUGCUUUAAACUGUUUAAACAUAAAUCUGUGUGAUCAUUAGAAUGAUGUAUAUCUUUGAUAUUAAUGAUGUUUAAUAUUCUUUUCAAAAUAUAAAUUAUGUUGUGCUUAUCAUCAGACUUGCUGCAAAUGGGACGUACAGCUCUGAUGGAACCCAAAGGUACAUGAUAAAAAGUUUUUAAGUAACACACAAGAGAGAUAUUGACAUUAUGGUCAUAGAUUAUAAGGAAAGAUAUUACUUUUUCAUUGUUAGGAUUUUGACAAGGCUCGGUGCUCAUUUGGGAAGUGAAAAGUUUCGAAGGUCUCUCUGUUCAAGUCAAGAAGUGAAAGCUAUUGAACUAUGUAUGUAAUAGCUUGUAUUGUUUACUUUGGGUCCUAUGCUCCUUCGACUUUAAAAUGCCUCAUUUGGGUCUAAUGUCACUUCUUUUUAUUCCAACAAUCAAUAUCGUUCUUGCGUUUUGUUGAUGUGGUAUAUGCCUAGGCUGCUACAAUGUUGUUCUUUUUACUCUAGAUACCAAGACGGAAAGCAAGAGAUGACACAAUUAUUGAACUUUCUGUAUUGAGAAAUCGGAAUUUCUGGAAAACUAUACUAGUGAAUUAUAAUCCCGGGAGCCUUUCCCCUCAAGCUCUCAAGAAAAGGCAACAAAUCGUCACUCAAAUAAAUUAGUAGCGGGUUAUUUGGGAAGCGAAAAGUUUCGUAGGUCUCUCUGCUCGAAUUGAGAAGGGAAAGUUGCUUUCAUCUUAAUACCAUAUGGUCUGAUACAUCACUAAUCUCCACUGCUCGCAAUGGAUAUAAAUUACUGCUCUUUGCGGAUUGAGACUGACACACAAUUAACUAAUCUGGCUCAUAUAUGGACACGAGUCUCCACUCAUCUAUUAUCUUUGAUUAUAUUGGACCACCUUCGACACGAACCGUCCCUGUAAAUUUUCCAUUCAAGUUUAUGUGAAUAAACAAAGCAUUUGUGUUGAGUUCGAAAGAGAUUAGGGCGUCAUGCGCUAGCUUACAAUUGCAUAUUAUAUGUUAAUAAAUCAGAUAACAAAAACUUGUACUAAAAAUCAAAAUAUUAUUAUAUGAUUUGACCAAAUGACCUACAUAUUUAAAAACUAAUAAAAAGACAUUAAAACUUGAAAGAUUUCAAAGAAAUCUUGAAGAAUUAUUUGGGAAAUUUUUCUCUAUUUUCACUGAACCAAAAUUGUACAAAGAGUUGCUUACUUAUCCAUGUAAACUAAGGACUAGAAAGUCAAUUUAAAAGGAAGUAGGUAACCAACUCUGACUAUAUACUUUACAGCUCAUCAUAUUCUAAAAUAAUCUAAAAAAUCUCUUCUUAUACAAUGUGAAUUAAUAUAAGCAACGUUGUAUAUUGAAAUGGGCUGCUGAAAUGGCAUUUGUGUGCUUCAGAUGGGAUGAAACCCAAAGAUAAAAUAUCAGCCCCAAGAGACGUGCAUUCUAGAAUAAGGCUCUCAACCCGUGUCCGAAUAAAGCUCAUCUUCUUCAUUCUUGGUACUGCCAGUCGGUGAUCAUGAGUUCCAACAAAACUGUAGAGAGUAAAGACUAUCUGAACGAUUAUAUUGUGGAUGUUAUUAUGUUCAUAGUGUGAGAAGUUGGGUUUUCUAUUUAUAGGACGUUUAGAAUAAACCAAAUAUGGAAAAUAAUUAUAUUUUUUUUUCAGAAAAAAUUCAAGCAUUUAUGUUAAUACUUUGACUUUUCUUUUAUGAAAAUAAACUUCAAAUAAGGUAAAAAAAUCAAAGCAACCAAAAACAAAGGAAAAGAGAGAGAUUACAUAGUAUCACACAUAGCAAGGCAGCAAGGCUAAUAUGACACAAACAAGACCAUAGUAGAUAAGUAUGGUGCACGUCAUGGUUUAUUUUGUAAAACUACGUAUUAAAUGAAUAUAUUUUUUAGAAUUGAUCUAAUAUUACUUGUUAUCCAUGCUACUAAAAAUAAGAAGUUCAAGUCAUCAUCAACUAAGUUUUGAGUUGGUAAGAAUCACUGAUACUACAAAUUUUCUUGAUAAAAGAGUGUUUACAACUUAUUAAACCUCAUAGGUUUGAAAGCCAUGAAUCAAAUAAGAAUAAGAAGUCUGGGACCCAAUGGCAAUAUGUAACUCGUAAGUUUUGAAAGACAUUUUAUUAGAGAGAAAUUUACGUUGUUUCUAUGUUUGUGUUUUGUUGGAUGUUUGGUGAAAAAAGUAGAUCAUCUCCUAUUGCAUUCUUUAGUUGGUUUAUAACACAAUGAGUGAUUCAACAUCUAUUUAUAUUUUUGAUUUAGAAAUAUUAUUAUACACUUGUAGAUAAAACUUCCAACAACAUAGAAAUAUGUUAAAUCUGAUUUACUUAUGCAACAAAUAUUAUAUCUUACGGGUAGAACGAACAAGGAACAUGAAAACUAAAUGUUUUUGUUAUCGGGUUGACUAAACAGGAUACAGAAAAAUCAUGUCUUUGAAUUGCAUAACAAAGAGUGUACUGAUAUUUUAUACUUUAUAAUAUCAUCACACGAAUUUUAUACUGAAGAUGUGUGCCUUUUUGUUGUCAAUUUUUUUGCAGUGAUACAAAAGCAGAUAGUGAAGACAGGUCAAAGAUUCUACUUUGAUGAAUUCUUUUUCAAUUCUUCAUCAAGAGACGAUUUAGAGUUUUUGGUAAAACUUUCUCUUUCACCAAGAGUCUCCAGCAAAAUGGGCAAUAAUUAGUUUAUCAGGAGUUCAAGUAUAUCUCGAAUUGGUUAUGGGUUAUUGCAAGUGCUUUUGGUUUUUACGUUUCUUUUCUAAUUUUUGUGGUGUUUGAAACAGAUCAAAAAAUAUUUUUAAACACUUAUUUUUAGACCCAAAAGAAGUAUAAAAAUAAGCUAAAGGCCAAAGGUAGGUAUUCCCAACUUAUGAGUUUAGCUUUUAGCUUAUAAGAUACUUUUAAAAAGUUAAUCCAAACACCCUCUUAAACUUUUAAAUUAAUUUUAAUUAAUAAGAUGUUAGCUAUUUGUUUAUAAUAUAUUAUCUUGAUAUGGUUGUAAAAACUUUAUUUAUCAAUAUGAAUAUUUGAAUUGUUUAUUUCAAAAUUCUAAAAAUAUUUUUGAUAAAAAGUAAAAUAGGUUCUCUUUCUUUAUUUUUAAUUUAAAUUUUGAGUUUUUUUCUUACAAAAAGGUACAAAAUUUAUAUAAAAUAGAAUAAAAAGGCAACUUUAAAUUAUUAUUAUUAUGUUUAUGUGUAUAUAUGUAUACCUGGACACGUUCGUUGCACGUGUAUUCCAUAUUAAUUCUUAUAAAUUCAUAUUAUUUAAAAAUAACAAACUUUUAUCUUAUACAUAAUUCAAUAACAGUUUCUUAAAUUAAAAAAAUAUCAAUAUAUAGCUAAAGAUAAAAUUCCUCAUGUUCCUAAUCUCAUAGCACCUUUGUAAAUGAUAUCUCUUCGUGUAAUUUCAUCUCCAAAUAUAUUGUUUGCCACAUUUGUAUCAUUUCUCAAUAUUUUAACAAUAAAAAAGAAAAUAAUAUAAGAAGAUACAUUUAAAGAAAGUUUAUAGAACGAAAAGGAAAGUACAUUGAAUUAAAUAUAAAAGUGAGAGAAGAAGAAUAGCAAAUUGGAUAUCAUAUCAAUUGUUCUAAUGGCUCAUAAUAGUGGUUUAAAUUCCACAAUGUCAUUAUAAGUUGUUCAAAAUUGUAAAUGAAUAAAAUUAUUAAUGAUAAAAAUAGUGUGGUAGAGAAAGAAAUCAAGUGUGUGAGGCAUCUGAAAAUAAGUAAAUUCAUUAUUUAGAGCCAAUAUAUCUUAUAUCAUACUCUUUCAAAUAUGAUUUCUUUUUACACCUUUAAAAUUACUUAUUUUCUCUUUUUUCAUUUUCUUCUCUUCUGAAGUUGAUUUGCAAUCAAUCUCUGACGGGCAAUAUCCAUCUUUGUAAGUUGACUCCUAAAUAGUAACAGUGAAGAAAUGUAUUUUUCUCCAUGCCUUGAGAAUUCUUUUUUCUUUUCUCCCCAAUUAUUUUCUUUCACAAUCCACAAACUUUAGAUUUUGUAUGCAACUUAUAAUUGUUGUGAGCUUUUAUAAGGUGUAGUAAAAAUGAGAAGUCUAUACUUAAGUAUUACUUAUUAACAAUGGAAUCUCAAAGGAUCAAAACAGAUCAUAAUUACAACAUGCACUAAUUAUUUGGCAGAUGAAACAAUUCUUCCGAUUAUUACUCAAUUCAAUGCAAGUGAUCAGAUUAUAUUUAACAUAAAGCUUUGUUAUUAAUUUCAAGUUCUUCAAAUUCAUUAUGUUUUUAUCAUCUAAUGUUUAAUUAAUUAAAUAAUUUAUAACAUUUUAAUUUAGAAUAGGGGUAAAAUGGUAACCAAGCAUUUAUAUAUAUAUAAAAUAAAUCAACGAAGCAAUGUCGAAGGACACGCAUAUAGGGUGUGUCCGCUCCUGAUUAAGUUAAGGUUUUAUAUCUUUAUGAAUAUUAAAUUAUCUUCCAAAUUCUUUUUUUUUGGGGGGGGAGAAGGGGUCUACCGCAUAUGGCAAUUUAGAUCUCUAAAAUCCGCACCAAGAAGGGAAAAUCGUUGAAUCUUUUAAUUUGCUAGUAUUGUUCGCUUUGUGCUAGGCGCACACAAUUUUAAAAUAUUAUAUAAGAGUGAAAAUUAUUUUCGCUUUCCAACUUUGCUGUAAAAAUUGAACUCCUUUUCAAUUUUAAACAACUAGUAUACGUGCUCGUGUGUUGCGCAGUUAGUUGAUAAAUGCAAUUGUAAAUAUUAAUUUAUUGACAAUUUUAAAGUUUAACUUAUUAUUAAAUAAUAUUAUCAAAUAAAUGCUUCACAUUAAAUAUGUAUACAUAAUACCUUUAACAAUAUAUCAAAAUAAAAAAUAAAAAAUAAAGAUUCAAAUCCAGGGAAUUAAACACCAAUCAUCCUACAAAUAAAACUUCAAAUCAUUGAAAGUUAUAAAUAAAAAAAAGGAAAAAUAAUCAUCAAAAACUAAUGGCUUGCAAUAAUUAUUGAUAAGAGAUUUUAAUGCUUAAAAAGUUGCUAUAUCUAUUUAUCAAAUUUCACUGAUAGUGUUAAUUCUAAGUAUGAAAUUGAUUAUAGUGGCUUUGUCUCAACAACUACAAAGUCACAUCCAAAGAAGAAGGAAAAAAGUUAUAUUGUCAAAAUUUUUUAUGCAUAAAUAGAAAUAGAAAACAAAUAAAUUAUUUUACACUUUUGAUAAUAAGUGUUUCCUAAUUAUCUUUAUGUAAAUAUUUCAUUAACAUAUUCAUUUAUAUAAAAUUUAUAAAAGAGACUUCUUUUAAUACUAAUAAACAUAAACAAAUAUUAAUUAAUAAGCAUAAACAAAUAUCAACUAUUAAUAAAUAACUAAAUGUGUAUGAAUCUUUUUUAGUAAUUUGUAUAUUUAGUUCGUGAUUUAUAUUUUUUGAUUAGUUAAAAGAUCAACUGAUAAAAUAAAGUAUUUAAAUACUUAUGAUAAUAUGGUUAAACAUGAGGUAUGUAUCAAAAAAAAUAAUCUUAAAACAUAUUUAAUUUGACGUAAUUAUUUAAAAUAAUCAUAAUUAUUUAUUUCAUGAUUUUUUAUUUUUUAUUUAUUUAAAAUAAAUACUGAAAAAUAAAAUGUUAUUAACACAAAUUUUUAUUGAUUAUAGGACUGUGUAGUAAUGUAUUGGUUAUGGGGAGUUAUAAAAAUAUUUUUUUGUCUUUUCAUUAACGUAUUCAUUUAUAUAAAAUUUACAAAGAGACUCCUUUUAAAACUAAUAAGCAUAAACACAUUUUAAUUUAAUAGCAUAAAUUUAUUAUAAUUAAGUAAUUUAAUGUGGUGAGAAUGCAUGCUAAUUAGUACUAUGUGUUAAGAAUUUAUGUGUAAAAUACAUAUCGUGUAUUAUUUUUAGCUCCCAAUAUUAAACAGAACUUUAUUUCAUUCGAUUUGGACUCGGAACAUCUAAAACAAAUUAAGUUUUUUAUUUAUCUUUUUUUUCCAGAGAACUCAUUUUAUUGUUUCAUCAAUGACUUGAAUUCAUGUUUUUAGUGGAGGUACAGAGUGUUUAUCAACUGAGAUAAAGUAUCUAAAUUUUAACUAGUUUUAGAUAAGUAAAUUUUACCGCAAAAAAAAUCAAAUAUUUCAUAUCUGAAUACACAAUCAAAAUUAAAAGAUUUGACCUUUCAAAUUUUUUUUGUGUCUCGUAAACUAAAAAAACGAAUAAUAUUUAAGUAGUUAUGGUUCCUCAUGAAUAAAUUAUAUACGGAGUUCAAUAUAUUUCAUAAACGACACAUUUCAUUACAAUAACAACAUAUUCUAUAUAGUUCUACGUAUAAAAUGUGAUUUGAAAAUAAUAAAAUGUACGUAGACCUUACUCUGCUACGGAGGUAGAGAGGUAACGACACAAUUGAUCAUCAUUGCUUAGAAAAACUUACCUAAUUAACAUUUAAAAAUUAUUAUAGUUAACUAAUUAAUUGUCCUCUCAUCUGUUCCAAUUGACUGGACAGAUUUUAGUUAUAAUAUGUUAGUGAAAAAUUACAAAAUUACAAGAUUACAAUUGAAAAUAAAAAUGAAGAAAUAAAUCUCUUCAGAUUGAGGCGUGGAUAUGUCGCUCUCUUUAAGGAGAUUCAAGCCCACUUAAGCAAAUGUUUUUCAUCGGUCCAACAGUAGUCCUCUUUACUUGUCCCCUCCAGGAUACAACAGCCUAAUCACAAAGUGUAACUCAACAAAUUUUGGACAAGAGUUGAGUUCAAACCUCCACAAAAAGAACACCUUCCUUCAACUAAUAAAAACUCUCUUUUUGGACAAACUUUAUGCACUAUGAUCUAUAUUUUUCUUGUGUGUCAACCAAACAAAGACCACCACUAUUUAUAGUUGCGGAUGUCUUCCUAGCAAUGAAUAGGAAGAUAAUGGGUAGUAAAUAAUGAAGAUAAAUGGUAUUAGAAAUUACAUAUGUUAUAAGGUAUAAUGGAGAAAUAAAGAAUGAGAUAACAAAGAUUGAAUGAAAAAGAAUUAGUGGUCAUGGUUGACCACCUUCUGCCACUAACAGUAACCUCCAAUGGCCAACGUUUUGUAACCAUCAAAUAAAGGGUAAUAAUGCCUAAAUAACACAAGUGAGUAAUGCCUAAGGUUGCAGCAAUGAAAUAGAGAUUGCUCCAACACUUGUCAUUUGCCUCUCUCCCUAGAGAAUUUCGCUUGUCACUCUCCCAGAUCUCGCUCGUCACUCUCCCUCGCCCUCUCUCACUUUAUACAACACAAUGUAUAAAUUGCGUUUGUGUUUGUAUAAAGCGAGAGAAAACUGUAUAUAAAAAUACAAAUACAUAUAUUUUUGUCCUAUACACUAAUAAUUAUACAAAUACAGAUAUUUCCCUACCAGUUCUCUUUUGCCUUCCUCUCGUUCUCGCUUUAUACAAAUACAAUGUAUAAUUUGUGUUGUAUAAAUCGAGAGAGAGAGAUUUGAUAUACAAAUGUUUAUUUUGAUUCAAUUGUAUACAAAUUCAAAUUUUAUGCAGAUAUACAAACACAAUCAAGGAUACAUAUACAUAGUAGUUACAUAUAUGCUGGUCAACAUUUUAAUAUUAAUAUUUUAUAUAUUAAUUUGUUAAAAGUUUGGAGUCAAAUGGUGCCUUUGCUGUCAAGUUAUCCGUUGGUGGUAAUUCAUUUGUCUUAACAAUUGGAAAUAUAUUUGGAGCAUUACUCCAUUUGGAGUAAGUGCUGAUGUUACUGACUGUUUCUCUUGCAGCAUCGUUUAGUGGCAUCUUGGCCAUAAGUUCUCCAUAUUAUUUCUCCAUUAUCUCACUCUUUAUUCCUCCAUUAUACCUUGUAACAUAUGUAACUCGUAAGAUCACUAUCUUCACUAUUUACUACACCAUUAUCUUCCUAUUCAUGGCUAGGAAGACUUCUUCUAGUAUAAAUAGUGGUGGUCUUCAUUUGGUUUGGGAGAUACAAUACACACAAGAAAAAUAUAGAAUGCAUAAGUUUGUCAAAAAGAUAGUUCUUAUUAGUUGGAGGGAGGUGUUCUUUUUUGUGGAGCUUUGGACUCAACUCUUGUCCAGAGUUGUUGAGUUAUACUUUGUGAAGGCUGUUGUAUCCUGGAGGGGACAAGUCAAGAAGAAGUACUGCUGGACCGGUGAAAACAUUUGCUGCAGUGGGCUUGAAUCUCCUUAAAGAGAGCGAGAUAUCCGCGCCUCAGCCUGAAGAGAUUUAUUUUCUUCAUUUUAUUUUUCAAUUGUAAUCUUGUAUUUUUGUUAUCUUGUAAGUUUUCACUAACAAUUUUAAGGAGAUUCAAAAUGGCUACAAUUGAAAAAAAUGCGGAUGUCAAGAUGGGAGACCUUAACAAGCCAUUUCGGUUCAAUGGUAACCAUUUUAAGAGAUGGAAGGGUAAAGUACUUUUCUACUUGAGUCUUCUCAAUGUUUCUUAUGUGUUAACUGAGAAGAAUCCUAAUAAAAUAGACAUCACCUUUAUGAAUGAUGAUGAAACUAUUUCUCAUCUAGAGAAAGUGGAAAAGUACGAUGGUGAUUCCUAUAAGUGUCGGUAUUAUAUUCUUAAUUGUCUAUCUGAUAAUUUUUAUGAUUAUUAUGAUAGAACUUACUCUAGUGCAAAGAAAAUUUGGAAAGCAUUGCAGAGUAAGUAUGAUACCGAAGAGGCUGGAACGAAAAAAUAUGCAGCUAGUCGAUUUUUUCGUUUCCAAAUGAUGGACAACAAAUCAGUGGUAGACCAAGCGCAAGACUUUAUAAUGAUUGUUGGAGAGCUUAGGUCCGAGGAGGUUAAAAUUAGAGAUAACCUUAUUGUUUGUGGCAUAGUGGAUAAACUUCCACCUUCUUGGAAGGAAUUUCAAAAAACUAUGCUCCACAAACAAAAGGAAACCUCUCUUGAAACCUUGAUAAUGAAAAUCCGCAUGGAAGAAGAGGCAAGAGGCCAAGAUGCACUUUUACAAACAGAAGAGAACAACAUCACAACGAAGGUAAAUUUAAUUACUUCAAAUAAUGCUACUCCUGAAUCUCACAAAAAUACUUCUUUGAAGCCUAAGAAGAAAAAAUUCAAGAAAAAUAAUGGUAGACCUCCCAAGAAAAAUAAUGGUGAAAAUAACCAAGCACAAAAUCAACAAGUUCAAGACAAAGGACCGUGCUUUGUUUGUGGCAAGAGUGGGCAUAUUGCUCGAUUUUGCAGAUUCCAAAAAUGUGGUCCNNNNNNNNNNNNNNNNNNNNNNNNNNNNNNNNNNNNNNNNNNNNNNNNNNNNNNNNNNNNNNNNNNNNNNNNNNNNNNNNNNNNNNNNNNNNNNNNNNNNNNNNNNNNNNNNNNNNNNNNNNNNNNNNNNNNNNNNNNNNNNNNNNNNNNNNNNNNNNNNNNNNNNNNNNNNNNNNNNNNNNNNNNNNNNNNNNNNNNNNNNNNNNNNNNNNNNNNNNNNNNNNNNNNNNNNNNNNNNNNNNNNNNNNNNNNNNNNNNNNNNNNNNNNNNNNNNNNNNNNNNNNNNNNNNNNNNNNNNNNNNNNNNNNNNNNNNNNNNNNNNNNNNNNNNNNNNNNNNNNNNNNNNNNNNNNNNNNNNNNNNNNNNNNNNNNNNNNNNNNNNNNNNNNNNGUCUAAUCAAUAUGUNNNNNNNNNNNNNNNNNNNNNNNNNNNNNNNNNNNNNNNNNNNNNNNNNNNNNNNNNNNNNNNNNNNNNNNNNNNNNNNNNNNNNNNNNNNNNNNNNNNNNNNNNNNNNNNNNNNNNNNNNNNNNNNNNNNNNNNNNNNNNNNNNNNNNNNNNNNNNNNNNNNNNNNNNNNNNNNNNNNNNNNNNNNNNNNNNNNNNNNNNNNNNNNNNNNNNNNNNNNNNNNNNNNNNNNNNNNNNNNNNNNNNNNNNNNAGUUUUAGGGUUAAUCCCAAUGAUUAAAAUACAUUUUGAAAUGUGUGAGGCUUGUAGUAAAGCCAAAAUCACUAAAAGGCCUCAUUUUCAAGUUGAAAGAAAAACUGAUUUGUUAGAUUUAGUUCAUACUGAUAUUUGUGAACUUGGUGGAAUUUUAACUCGUGGAGGUAAUAGAUAUUUUAUCACUUUCAUUGAUGAUUUUUCUAAGUUUACAUAUGUUUACUUGAUGAAAAAUAAAAGUGAUACUUUUGAAAAUUUCAAAACUAUCUUCAUGCGGUUGAAAAUCAGUUUGGAAGAAAAAUAAAAAGAAUUAGAAGUGAUAGAGGCCGUGAAUAUGAGUCAAAUGAGUUUAAUUCUUUUGUUAGAUCAUUGGGAAUAAUUCAUGAAACUACUCCUCCUUACUCUCCUUCAUCUAAUGGAGUAGCGGAAAGGAAAAAUAGAACUUUGGUUGCCAUGCUUAUUGAGUCACAUGCACCUUUAAAUUUUUGGGGUGAAGCUAUUUUAACUGCUUGUUAUGCGUUGAAUCGUGUGCCUCAUAAAAAGUCUAAAUUGACACCUUUUGAAUUUUGGAAAGGUUACAAGCCAAGUUUGGGAUAUCUAUUAACGCAAUUUAAAUUAAAAUUCUAUUCAACUGUCUCCAAAAGCAUCACGUCUUGUUUACACUUGAAAUUAAAAAAUUACCUUAUAAGUUGUUAAAAAGAAAAUUUUCGUAGUAGAUUUUCAUGUGAGAGAUCAAACACUUAAACAUCAAUUAAAGAAUAUGAUGCAAAAAAUCAAGAAACUAAAUGGAAAGAGCUUUGAUCUUCAAGGGGAUUAAAACUUGUGAAGAAGAGUCCCUAUUACAUUACAACAUCAAUUUGACAUCAAAGUCCUAUAUUUCUUAUUAACAAUUUGCAUUAAGCCUAGUGUUUUAAUGAAGGACAAAAAGUUCAAUCAACAUUUCUAGAAAAGGGUCUUAUAGUAUAAUUGAUUGAUAGAUACUAGAAUUGCUAAUGUGCUUCUUCAAGGAACUCUGUCACUUAACAUUGAGCUCCAAUGAACAUUGAGAUGUUAUCCGCGAGUGUGUUGCACACAUGUACGUAUUUGGCUGAAUUUUCCAAAAAUGUAAAAAUAGCACAGCUGAACCAUGUAUUGAUGUUUAAUUAAAUGAUACAAGUCUUUGGUCACUAAAUGGUCCCCGUUUUUUACAACCACCAAUUGAGAAAGCAAUGAAUAGGCACUAAUUACAACUUCUUGUUUGCAAAUUUACUAGCAAAAGAGAGAGAAAUCAGUGAUCAUUCUUGUUUGCAAAUUACUCUUAGCUUUAACAGGUAAAGUGAAAUUGUUAGUAAUUUAACAUACAAACAUUCAUCUCCUGAAAUUUCUUAAAAUCAUUUUGUGUUUUGAUUUGCAGAUUUCAGUAAAAUGGAGGUUGGCUUAGCAGUUGGUGGUGCAUUUAUCUCUUCAGCUUUGAAUGUUCUCUUUGAUAGGAUUACUCAUCUGACCUAAGCAAGAGGGUGCUGCAUAACAUACUGCCAAGACUAACAUCCUUAAGGGCAUUAUCAUUGUCAGGUUAUUACAUUGAGGAGUUGCCAGAUGACUUGUUUAUCAAAUUAAAGCUCCUCAGAUUUUUGGACCUUUCUCAGACAUGUAUUGAAAAGUUGCCAGAUUCCGUUUGUGCAUUGUAUAAAUUGGAGACACUUCUCUUGUCAUUUUGUACCUCUCUUGAAGAGUUACCGCUGCAGAUGGAAAAGUUGAUUAACUUGCGUCAUCUUGACAUAAGCAACACUUGGGUCUUGAACAUGCUGCUACAUCUGAGCAAGUUGAAAUGCCUCCAAGUGCUAGUGGGAGCCAAGUUUCUUGUAGGUGGUUUGAGAAUGGAAGAUUUGGGUGAAGUAGAGAACUUGUAUGGAUCUCUAUCAGUUUUAGAGUUGCAAAACGUGGUUGAAAGAUGUGAAGCUGUGAAGGCAAAGAUAAGGGAGAAGAAUCAUGUUGAGCAGUUAUCAUUGGAGUGGAGUGAAAUUAGUAGUGCUGACAAUUCACAAACAGAAAGAGACAUUCUUGAUGAGCUACGCCCACAUGAAAACAUAAAAGAAGUCGAAAUCACCGGAUAUAGAGGAACAAAAUUUCCAAAUUGUCUAGCUCAUCAUUCGUUUCUUAAGCUAGUAGAAUUGUCUCUUAGCAACUGCAAGGACUGUGAUUCCUUGCCAGCACUAGGAGAACUUCCUUGUUUGAAAUUCCUUUCGAUUAGAGGGAUGCAUGGAAUAACAGAGGUGACACAAGAAUUCUAUGGCAGUUCAUCCUCCAAAAAGCCUUUUAACUGUCUUGAGAAGCUUGAAUUUGAAGAUAUGCCGGAGUGGAAGCAAUGGCACGUACUAGGAAGUGAGGAGUUCCCUAUACUUGAGAAGCUUUCAUUUAGAAAUUGUCCGAAGUUGAUGGGGAAGUUGCCUGAAAAUCUUUCUUCUCUGACAGAAUUGAGAAUUUCAAAGACGCCUCUUUUUGACGAGGCUGGACUGUUUGCAUCCCAACUUCAGGCUGACAGAAUCGUUGUAUUAUCUAUUGAGUAUUGUAACUCUGUUACCUCCUUACCUUUUAGGAUACUGCCCAGUUCCUUCAAGAGAAUAUGGAUAUCUCACUGCCAGAAAUUGAUAUUGGAGGAGUCAGUUGGUUAUUGUAACAUGUUUCUCGAGGAAUUGACACUGCAAUUUACAACAACUUCAGAUCAAGAAAUGCACAAAACUGGUGAAUGGCCGAAAGGAGUGGUGUUUACAGACACUCCCCUGUCUCAGAGAGUUAAGCAUCUACCAUGAUGGCGGUGACGAAGAUAUCCAACAUUGGGAGUUGCCUUCCUCUAUUCAGAGACUUACCAUAGACAAUCUGAAAACAUUAAGCAGCCAACAUCUCAAAAGUCUCACCUCUCUUCAACAUCUACGUAUUACUAAUUUACCUCAAAUUCAGUCACUGUUGGAAGAAGGCCGGCUUCCCUCCUCUCUUUGUGCGCUAAGUUUAGAUUACCAUCAUGAGCUCCAUUCACUAAGUCUUUCGCACCUCACUUCUCUUCGACGUCUACACAUCACUGCUUGCCCUAAUCUCCAAUCACUUUCCGAAUCAGCACUGCCCUCCUCCCUCUCUCAGCUGAUCAUCUUUGAUUGCCCUGAUCUCCAAUCACUUCCAGUAAAAGGGAUGCCCUCUUCCCUCUCUUAUCUAUCUAUUUCCAACUGUCCAUUGCUCAAACCACUCCUAGAAUUUGACAAGGGGGAAUACUAGCCAAAUAUUGCUCAAAUUCCCAUCAUAAAUAUCCAUGGGAAACACCUGUAAACAAAUGAUGCUUUGACAAAUGUAAGUUAUUCUUUUCCCUCAGAAGCUUUUUAUUUUUGUUUACUUCACUUUGUUUUUUUGCUAAUUCUUUUCUUUUUUUUUCUAUCUUGCCGAGCAGUGUGGAGCAUCUAUUGCUCAAACAACGGCUACUGACCAAAAAUUGCUCAUGCUUCCACCAUAAAUGCUGAUUGGGAGAACCUGUAAUAAUUAAAACGAGUGGUGCUCCUACGUACAGAUUUGUAAGUUAUACUAUUUCCUUAGUAUCAUUUGAUUUUUUGUUACUCCUCUUUGCUCGUCUGUUAAAUAUUUUGGACCAGUGUGUAGAAUCUAUUACCUCUGUGAAGUCGAGGAAAUAUCUAUAGAUCAGGAUAAAAUCUUUAUAUUUGCAUUGAGACAUUGUGAAAGAAAUCUAGUAUAGGUAGGAAUUGAGAUAAUUUGCUCCAGAAAGUUGGUUGCUUAAUAUAUGUCAGCAUGAUGUUUAUAACAAUUCAUAUAUUCUUGUGACAAAUCUCACUUUCCAUCUUAGUUGACUCUUAAGACUCCCUUUUCUUGUCUGUUAACCUAUGUUCCGUCUCAAAUCUUGCAGACUGGAAUAUUAUUUGCCAUCAUGAAAGUUGUUUCGCAUUUUUCAUUUCUUCUACAAAGAUAAAUGGGUCCAAGAAAUGCAACCUCACUUUCUCAAUCAGGAAACCAAGACCUUGAUAAGAGUUGCAUCAAUCUUGAAAUUUAAAGAAAUUGAGAACGACUUUGAAUGCCUACUUCCAUUAUUUACGCCAUGUUGUACCACAAUAAUUUCAAGUUUGAUGCGACUACAUAAUUACAUCAGUUUUUUUUUUUUUGGUAAUCAAAGAUCCAGAAUAUUGCAUCAGUUUUUUGGUCUUGAUAUUCAGAGAACUUUGGAGAUUAUGAAGUUUCCUUUGAGAACUUUGGAGAUUAUGAGUAAUAGUUUACACUGUCAUAAAUCAGCGAAAUAAAUUUACUUCGUUGGCACUCUCAUCAGUCAUCAGCCAGCGAAACAAAGAAACCAACACACCCAAUCUAAACCUGAAUUUUUUACAAAAUCAACACACCCAAUCUAAACCUGAAUUUUUUCUGUUGCAUUUUAAUGAUCCGACUAAAAAUAUUUAAAAGAUAGUUACUAAGUUUUAGUUUUUUUAAUGUAUUUAUAAUGUAAAGCUCUAUUUCAUUAGUUGAAAGCUGCAGAAGAUAAUGUUUUAAUGUCAAGUGCAAACACUUGGAGUUUUCGUUUGCCAAAUGAGACUCAUAUAAUAUGAGUUUUCUUAAUUAAGUAUUCAUAUUUUUGUAUUUCUAAUUAUGCAGUAAAAUCAAGGUGUUCAUUUAGUUCUCACUUUAAUUUAAGGUUGAAAAUGAUGAAUUUGAUUGGGGAAAUAGUGAAACAUUUUGAUUAUUCAUUUGCAAUAAAAGGAAAGAUACUUGAAGGUUUCUUUUUGUUAGAUUUUCUUCGUGGAAUUUGCUUAUGUUAGCUUUUUGGAGUUGUUCAGAAAUACCAUUAGAUCGGUUGAAGGCUAAUUGGAUAUAAUUGUCUUCAUGACGUGUUUGCUAAGUUUCUGUCGCCUAAUUCAGAUUCCACUGGAUUAGUUUCUACCCAAGAUUAUGCAUAUAUUUGGUGUAAGGUUGAAAAGUAAAAACCUCAAAUGAUAUAUGUAUUUUCUUUUUUAAAAAUACAAAGUUGCGAUGAAGAUUGAAAAUUUUGAUGGUAUUAAUUUUUAUAUGGAUCACCAUUGAGAACUUUGCCUGAGGUAUUAAUCUCCAUUUUCCCUAUUUAUAAAUGUUUCCUGUAGCUCCUAAUUGUGAUGCUUCAUUUACACAUUUUUUACAUUAUAUCUUAUUACAGGGAUAAAGUCUGUCAAGAGUCAAUUAGAUGUUACAGACUUGCAACUACUUGUUGUGCGUUAUAUAUAUAAUUGCAUAUUUCUUGGAUAUCAAGUAUUGGAUUGGUUUCUCAUUGCUUAUUGACUUAUACUCUUACGCGUUUUAAUUUCACAUCUCAAUUGCGAAAGAAAGAUAUCAUAUGUAGCUUGUGCAAAAUAUGAUGUCAUCUUACGUACUACUCUUUGUUGCAAUUUACCGUCCAGAUAACAUGACAGUUAAUUUUGUGGAAUUCUCCUUUGCUUGUCCUAUUAGCAUGAUUUGGUUGUUGAUCCAUUGUUGCUGUAGGAUUGUUCGAUCUUGUCUUUGUUGUUCUUAAACUUCGGUCAACAAAAAUCAUGAAUGGUCAGAAUAAUGCAAUUGAUUCGCAUCAGAGAUGAAUCUAAGGCUAAUAAACGGAUAGACGUAUCAUGAUGUAUUAUGACUGUUAGAGGGUGAACGAUUGAGAAGCCUUCAGUUCUUGAUUAAGCCUUCACAUUGCUUUGUUCUUCUAGCUUCUUCAGUAUAAAAAAAAUUGCUUGUGAGCCAUAUCUUGAAUUUGACACUUCUUCACCUGGCAGUAAGCUUAGAAAUCACUUUUUAUAGUCAAAUAGAACUAUAAAUAUAGACAGUGUAUGGUCUGUAAUAGAUCUACUUGUUUAUACUCAUCAUUAUGUCGAAGGGUUGUAAAGAAGAAGAUAUGAUACAGAACUUCAGAGAUCUUUCUCUAGUAGUCUGUAGUUUAUACGAUUAUCUUAAUGGAAGUCCCAAUUGACUGCUGCAUUCUAACCCUACCAUUGGUAGCCUAACUUAUACUUCAUAUCUUUAUCUUUCCUGUUAAAGAUACUUAUAAUUAACACUUGCAUUAUUUUUUACAACCGAGCUAGAAUUUUAGCUAUUUGUGUUAAAAUUGUGUAUUUGCAUUAAGAAAUCUACUUAUUGCUCAGAACCAAUUACUUUCUUUUUUUUGUAAAAUUCAGAAUUCAUAAACUCAAAUGCAAGUUUCACAAAUGAAAAGUCAUGUGCCUUUUAACUUGGAUUUUGGAGCCUACAAAAUAUGUGGAAAAUCCUGAAUAAAUGGGUCAGUGGAAUAAUAUGUGAGUUGUAAACCCAAAGAAGAUCAAAUGAAAUAUCCCAAUCUUGUAUUCCCAAGAAAUUGGAGAGAUUUUGUAAUGAAAGAAGAAAAUUGUGAAGCGGCAAUUAGGAAAGAAGAGAGAGUACACAUUCAGUGAACCAAAAGAGUGACAACAAAAGUCUUUUUCUAAGAACAUUCCCUUUUUGUAGAUUGUUUCCUAUAUUUCUUAUCCAAAUACAGUGUAUGCACAAGAGUGUAGCUAAAGCAAUACUGAACUAGUCACGUAUCAGGAUUUCUGAAGCAAUACAGCAUUCAAUUGUUGUCUCAGUUAGAUUGCUCCUUUUUUACAAAUGUAACCGUAGGUUUUCCAAAAUGAUAGCUUGAGUCCCUUUUCAACAAUCAUGUAAUGCUAAUUUUUUCUGUUGUUUUGCAUUUUCGUCUUUGCUAUUCGUAAGCCUGGGAUAAACUUUUGUCAUCUGGAAUUUGAAAAGUUAUGUUUUACUCCUUAUGAUAUGCAGAUAUGUAGUUGCAGAGAUAAAGCAUAUGACAAUCUGGCUCGGAAAGAACAGUUUGACAUCCAAGACAGUGAAGAGCUUAAUAGAAUGAAGGAAGAAAAUGUCAAUCUGCAAGAAAAGCUGAAUAAUACAGGUAUUAUUAAUUGAUAUUCCAGACGGUACAAAUUUGUAAAAUAUAAAAAAUCGCUUGUGAGCCAUAUAUGAUAUAUUGAAUUUUAAACUUCUUCACUUGCAAUAAUCACUUUCUUAGUUAAAUAAAACAAUAGUAUUUCAUUUCUUUUCUAGAGGAAUCAUACAUGUACAGCUAUAAACAUAGAGAUAUGUGUGCUGGUCUGUAAUUGCAAUACGUGGAUUGGCCAAGAAUUCUAAAAAUUCUUUUUAAUUGCUUUCAGUAAGGAGGUUGUGAUUUCCAAGUCGUACAGCUGUCUACUGUGGCUUCCUUGAGAUGAAACAUGACUUGCUGCAAAUGGAAUGUCAAGCUCUAAUGUACCCAAAGGCCGGAUGAGGACAAAACCAUGGCUGUUCACGCUUCAACUCAGUUUCCUGAGUAUACGCAUAGUUUGAUUGAUGUUGUCUUGGUGUUCCCGAACAUAAUAUCUGUGUGAUAACAGGAAGGGCUGAAGGUGGCUUUGGCGGCAAGAAAUAUGCCAGUGAGUACCCACAAGGAUUUUCGUUUAAAGCUACAGAUAAAAAAGGCCUUUUUGUUUAAAGUUGUUGCUUGGAAAUAGUUUUGCUCCUUUCAGUCUUAUGUUUUGUUUAAAAUUUUUGUAACCAAUCCUUCUUCGCGGGGGUGGGGGGAUUGAGGGGGUGACUGCAUUAUCAACCACUACAGUGAUUAGUAUAUUUCAUAAUAUUUAAGGUAUAUUCAUUGUUCAGUUAAGAGAACACAAGAGCUCAGCUUUUUAGAGGACCAUAAAUAUCUAAGGAUAAAUGAAAUGGGCAAAAAAGUUCCAUAUAUAUCUAUGUUGACCACAAAAACAAAGAAACUCUGCUCCAUCGCAUACCUUCACUUCCUAUGAACCGUCCAAAGGAAAGAUAUAUUCGAUUGAACAAAGAGCUAAGCUGCCUUUCAACGCAAAAGGCAUUAUUACACACAUAAGAGGGGAGAAAACAGGAAAAGAACUAUCAUACAAUAUGGAGAAAAAAAGCUCAAAACCAUUGUGCUCACGCAUAAGCAUGGAAAUAUGGGCUUUCAAGGUAGAAAAGUUAUGGCUGCAUGCCAACAAGCUUUAUCGGCAACUGGAUUAAACUGAACAACAAUUAAUGCCAGAGUUGUUGUCAGUGGAGUCCACAUUCCAUACAUUCUCAAGCAUGUUAAGAGUGACUCUGUGGUGGUAGUAAGAGAAUCGAAAAAUAAAUAAGAAUGUCUUGUUAUAUAAUUUCAUAUAGUAAGAUAGCAAGAAAAACUAACUUUCGAAAGAAGUGUUUUUGCCUCGAUAAUUAUCUAACAAGAGUGUCGAUGCAAAAGUAGUUUUUUUUCGUGAGAAAAUACCAGAUUAAAAAAAGUAACGUAGACGUCAGUUUAAGCUUAUAGGGCAAUUGAUGUGGGCCCACCCUCAUAUUUUCCACGUCAAUAGUCAAGAUGACAUCAUUAAUUAUUUAACUCUACACCAUACUUACUUGUAUGGAAUAUUUGUAUUAAAUAUACUCUUAUAGUAUCAUUUACUAAUGAAUAAUUUCUAAUAUAUGAUGUCAUUUAUAAAAUUUCAAAUAAAAGUAUUCCAAAGUAGAGGGCUAGAAUCAAAGGGUAGGGGUUGGGGUACAAAAAUAAAUAAAUAUAUGAUGUCAUUUAUAAAAUUUGUCUUCGCUAUUUUCAUUAAGGAAAUUGUUUUUCCUCAUUUUUAAGUGACUUAAUUUCCUGUUUCUUUUCAAGUCUUUGUUUUUUCGUUAAGUGAUAUGUUAGGCCCAAUUAAGCACUAAAAUGAGCUGUUAAAAGCAGUAGUGCAUAAAGCAAAAGUAAUGAAUCAUAUUUCUUAGUUGGUAGGUGUUGUCUUUUAUUGUUUUGUUUAUUUAUUUUGGUGGGCUGUACACUUAGGCAACCCACAUGAUUUUGUAUAUAUUUGCUCUUAGUUUAAUAAAAAUCCUGACCCAUCUGGUCUUUGAUUUAAAAAAAAAAGAAAAAGUAAUGAAUCAUAAAGCUAAAAAUACUUUUCUUUAUUGCCUCAAUUAUUUUCGAAUCUUUGUUUUUUCAGUCAAGAAAAGAGAAUUGUUUUGCUUCUUUCUUGUAGACAAAAGAGAGAAAUCAGUGAUCAUCUUGUUUGGGAAUUACUCUUAGCAUUCAACAGGUACAUAAAGAAGUUGUUAGUAAUUAAUGAUAGAAAAAUAUUUAUCUUAAAAAAUCAUUUUGUUUUGAAUUUGCAGAUUUCAGAAAUGGAGGUUGUCUUGGCAGUUGGUGGUGUAUUUCUCUCUUCAGCUUUGGAUGUUCUCAUUGAUAGGCUUGCUCCUCAGGGCGAUCUUCUCAAAAUGUUUCGGAAGCGUAAGAAUGAUGUUGAGCUCUUAAAGAAGCUGAAAUUGACUUUGCUUGGUCUUCAAGCUGUGCUAAGUGAUGCAGAGAAUAAGCAAGCAUCAAAUCAAUUUGUGAGAGAGUGGCUUAAUGAGCUUCGAGUUGCUGUAGACUCUGCUGAAAACUUGAUUGAACAAGUCAAUUAUGAAGCUUUGAAGCUUAAGGUGGAAGGUAAGCAUCAAAAUCUUGCAGAAAAAAUAUUGAAGCAUUGUAGAUUUUGCAGCCUGUGCUUGGGUGAUCAUUCUUUUCUUAACAUAAAUGAAAAGUUGGAAAAGACUAUUGAAACAUUGGAGAAUUUGCAAAAUCAAAUUAGUGACCUUGGCUUACAGAAACAUUUUGGUUCGACUAAACAAGAAACUAGAACUUCAACUUGUUUGGUUGAUGAAUCUGAUAUCUUUGGUUUACACAAGGAAAAAAAGGAUAUGAUUGACCGUUUAUUGUCUGAAGAUGCAAGUGGAGGAAACCUGACUGUAGUUCCUAUUGUUGGAAUGGGCGGCACGGGUAAGACAACACUAGCUAAAGUUGUUUACAAUGAUGAGAAGGUGAAGAACCAUUUUGGUUUGAAAGCUUGGUAUUGUGUUUCUGAGCCAUAUGAUGCUUUGAGAAUAACGAAAGGGUUACUUCAAGGAAUUGGCUCAUUUGACUCGAAGGAUGACGGCAAUGUUAAUCAGCUACAGGUCAAAUUGAAGGAAAGCCUGAAGGGAAAGAAGUUUCUUGUUGUCCUUGAUGAUGUGUGGAAUGAUACCUAUAGUGAGUGGGAUAACCUGAGAAAUGUUUUUGUACAAGGAGUUAUGGGAAGUAAGAUCAUUGUAACAACACGUAAGGAGAGUGUUGCUCAGAUGAUGUGUGCUGAUCGUUGCGCAAUCACCAUGGGGACUCUGUCUAGUGAAGACUCUUGGGCUUUAUUCAAACGACAUUCACUAGAAAAUAGGGAUCAUCCAGAACUUGAAGAGGUUGGGAAAAAAAUUGCAGAUAAGUGCAAAGGGUUGCCUUUAGCUCUAAAGGCACUUGCUGGUGUUUUACGCGGCAAAUCAGAGGUAGAUGAGUGGAGAAACAUUUUAAGAAGUGAAAUAUGGGACCAGCGUUGUUGGAAUGGUAUAUUACCAGCAUUGAUGUUGAGCUACAAUGAUCUUCCUGCACAUUUGAAGCGAUGCUUUGCUUUUUGUGCAAUAUAUCCCAAAGAUUAUCAAUUCUGCAAAGACAAACUUAUUUACCUGUGGAUUGCUAAUGGUCUUGUAAAGCAGUUUUGUUCAGGUAACAAAUACUUUGACGAGUUGAGAUCAAGAUCAUUGUUUGAGAGGGACCCAGAGUCUGAAUGGGAAUCAGAGAGAUUCUUAAUGCAUGAUCUUAUAAAUGAUUUGGCCCAAACUGCAUCUUCAAAACUUUGUAUUAGGUUGGAAGAGACCGAAGGAUCUGAUGAUAUGUUGGAACAAUGUCAGCACAUGUCCUAUUCCAUGGGACAAGAAGGUGAAUUUGAGAAAUUGAUACCACUCUCCAAAUCAGAGCAGCUGAGGACAUUGCUUCCAACCAAUAUCAGUAACUUUUCUGGGCUAAGCAAGAGGGUGCUACAUAACAUACUUCCAAGACUAACAUCCUUAAGGGCAUUAUCAUUGUCAGGUUAUAGGAUUACGGAGUUGCCAAAUGACUUGUUUAUCAAAUUAAAGCUCCUCAGAUUUUUGGACCUUUCUGAGACACAGAUUGAAAAGUUGCCAGAUUCCAUUUGUGUCUUGUAUAACUUGGAAACCCUUCUCCUGUCAUCUUGUGAAAAUCUUGAGGAGCUACCGCUGAAGAUGGAGAAGUUGAUCAACUUGCGUCACCUCGACAUAAGCAACACUUCUCGCUUGAAGAUGCUGCUACAUCUGAGCAUGUUGAAAAACCUCCAAGUCCUACUGGGAGCCAAGUUUCUUAUAGGUGGUAGCGGUGGUUUGAGAAUGGAAGAUUUGGGUGAAGUACAUAACUUGUAUGGAUCUCUAUCAGUUUUAGAGUUGCAAACUGUAGUUGAUAGAAGGGAAGCUCUGAAGGCAAAUAUAAAGGAAAAGGAACAUGUUGACAAGUUAUCAUUGGAGUGUAGUGAAGGUAGUUUUGCUUACGAUUCUCAAACUGAAAGAGAGAUACUUGAGGAGCUACGCCCAUACACAAACAUAAAAAAUGUCGAAAUCACCGGAUAUAGAGGGACCAAAUUUUCAAAUUGGCUGGCUGAUCCUUCGUUUCUUCAGCUAGUAGAAUUGUAUCUUAGCAACUGCAAGGACUGUGAUUCUUUGCCAGCACUAGGACAGCUUCCUUCUUUGAAAUUCCUUGACAUUAGAGGGAUGCAUGGAAUAACAGAGGUGACGGAAGAGUUCUAUGGAAGUUCAUCCUCCAAAAAGCCUUUUAACGCUCUUGAGAAGCUUGAAUUUGAAGAUAUGCCGGAGUGGAAGCAAUGGCACGUACUAGGAAGUGGGGAGUUCCCUAUACUUGAGUACCUUUCAAUUAGAAAAUGUCCAAAGUUGAUGGGGAAGUUGCCUGAAAAUCUAUGUUGUCUGAUAGAAUUGAGAAUUUCAGAGACACCUCUUUUUGAUGAAGCUCAACUGCUUAGAUCCCAAUUUGAGGGAAUGAAGCAGAUUGCUGAAUUAGAUAUCAAAAUUUGUAACUCUCUUACCUCCUUACCUUUUAGCAUAUUGCCCAGUUCCUUGAAGAGAAUAGCGAUAUCUCAUUGUCAGAGAUUGAAAUUGGAGGAGCCAGUUGGUUAUUGUAACAUGUUUCUGCGGAGCUUGCAACUGUAUAAUUGUGAUUGUAUAGAUGAUAUAUCACCUGAGUUGCUCCCAAGAGCACGUUCUUUGAAGGUACAUGCUUGCUAUAACCUUGCUAGGUUUUUGAUUCCUACUGCAACUGAAAGUCUCACUAUUCGGGAUUGUGAGAAUCUUGAAAUACUUUCAGUGGCAGUUGGAACCCAUGAGUCUGCCAUGACGUCUUUGCAUAUUUGGGAUUGUGAGAAGCUCAAGUGUCUGCCAGAAAUAGAUCUCUUCAAUUUACAAGUCCUUAAGAUCUAUAAUUGCAAGAAACUAGUGAACGGCCGAAAGGAGUGGUGUUUACAGAGACUCCCCUGUCUCACAGAGUUAGAGAUCAGACAUGAUGGCAGUGACGAAGAGAUCCAACAUUGGGAAUUGCCUUCCUCUAUUCAAACACUUAGAAUAGAGAAUCUGAAAACAUUAAGCAGCCAAGUUCUCAAAAGCCUCACCUCUCUUAAAUAUCUAUCUAUUGAUUGGCUUCCCUCCUCUCUUUCUCAGCUACAUUUAUGUUACUAUGAUGAGCUCCAUUCACUACAUCUUUGCCACCUCACUUCUCUUCUAAGUCUACAUUUAAAUUGUCGUAAUCUCCAAUCACUCUCUGAAUCAACACUGCCCUCCUCCCUCUCUCAGCUGACCAUCUCUCAUUGCCCUAAUCUCCAAUCACUCUCUGAAUCGCAUAUAGGUGUGUCUGCUCCUGAUUAAGAUAAGGUGUUAUAUCUUUAUGAAUAUUAAAUUAUCUUCCAAAUUCUUUUUUUUUUUUGGGGGGGGGGGGGGUGGGGGGGAUCAACCGCAUAUGGCAAUUUAGAUCUCUAAAAUCCGCACCAAUUAAGAAGGGAAAAUCGUUGAAUCUUUUAAUUUGCUUGUAUUGUUCGCUUUGUGCUAGGCGCACACAAUUUUAAAAUAUUAUUUAAGAGUGAAAAUUAUUUUCGCUUUUCAACUUUGCUGUAAAAAUUAAACUCCAUUUCAAUUUUAAUAAUCGAACUCCUCCCUUUAUUCUAAUUAAUUUUUUAAAAAUACCUAUUAUACCCUUUCAUUAUCUUGUGACAAAUCUCACUCUUCAUCUUAGCUGGCUAUUACAACUCACUUUUCUUGUCUAUUAACAUAUGUUCUCUCUCAAAUCUUGUAGACUGAAAUAUCUCCACCAUAGAAGUCGAUGGAGAAUACAUUUAAUGAUUAAAGCGAAUGGUGCUCUCAACAAUGUAAGUUUUUCUUUGUCCUCAGAAGCUUUCUAUUUUUGUUUUGUUCCCUUUGCUUUCCCUUUUUUAAGAUCUUGUUGAGCAGUAUGGAGUGUCUAUUACCACUAUGAAGCCAAAAAAUCAUCUUUAGUUCGAGAUAAAUUUAAUUUUCGAUAACCACAAUAAACAAAGGUGAGAAAAUCUUUAUAUUCGUGUGGGAACACUGUAAAACGAAAUCUAGUAUAUAUUCGUGUGGGAACACUGUAAAACGAAAUCUAGUUUAUGCUUUGAACUGUUUAUACAUAAAUCUGUGUGAUCAUUAGAAUGAUGUAUAUCUUUGAUAUUAAUGACGUUUAAUAUUCUUUUCAGAAUAUAAAUUAUGUUGUGCUUAUCAUCAGACUUACUGCAAAUGGGACGUACAGCUCUGAUGGAACCCAAAGGUACGUGAUAAAAAAGUUGUUUAAAUAACACACGAGAGAUAUUGACAUUAUGGUCAUAGAUUAUAAGGAAAGAUAUUACUUUUUCAUUGUUAGGAUUUUGACAAGGCUCGGUGCUCAUUUGGGAAGUGAAAAGUUUCGAAGGUCUCUCUGUUCAAGUCAAGAAGUGAAAGCUAUUGAACUAU
rnacentral:lncRNA from 1 species